rnacentral:rRNA from 1 species
GGUGACGCGGUGCGUGAGGGGGCGGGAAUACUUGUGGUGCGUGCGUUAGUCGGAGUUACGGGGGGUAAAGCGUGUGGAGGCGGUUGGUUAAGUCGGGUGGGAAAGCCCUGUGGUCAACCUGGGAAUUGCGUUCGAGCGUGGCAAGAUAGAUUACGGUAGAGGGCGGCGGAAUUCCGGGUGUAGCGGUGAAAUGCGUAGAUAUCCGGAGGAACACCGAUGGCGAAGGCAACCGCCUGGGCCUGUACUGACGCUGAGACACGAAAGCGUGGGGAGCAAACAGGAUUAGAUACCCCUGUAGUC